rnacentral:lncRNA from 1 species
CGUGGAGAUUUGUUGUCAUUUAUAAGACUUAACGAUGAUUUUUUUCUUCUAUUUAUUGGGGUAUUAUCCUUAUCGUAUUGUUGAAUUUAAGGGUGAACUCUUCCUUAAUGGGAAAGUUUUUGUUCAAUAUAAUUGUGUAUUAGCGUGUAAAUGUGUAUGUUAAAGACGACCUUAGAAUAAAUCAUUAUGUGCACAUAUACAUUUGCCUAACAAACUCUUUUUAACACCGAAGAACGUAGGAUGAAAAAUGGGUUGGGUGUGUGAAGAUAGCUGUGAUGUUCUAUUUAUAUAAAAUUUUUGACUGAUUCUUUAUUUUUAAUGCCAUUUUCUCUUUUCUAAUUUCUUACUCUAUUCUUUGUUUUCAAGUACCCCCUUAUUACCUCUUCUGUAUAUUAUAUCAUCCCAUUAUUCUUUAUUCUGUUUUUUUUUAUCAAGUUUUCUCUAUUCUGACCCCCUACACCUCAAUCUAUGUCUAUCUUUUAAAACAUAUAAGUCCGUUAAUACAUAGGUAUAUACGUUAUACUCCAUAAAAUCAAAUUUAUAAGCUAAACAAAUAUUGAUAACGAAUGAAUAAUUGCCACAGUGAGAUACAACGGUUAUGAUAAAUAAUCGAGUAGGCCCUUGUCGAUUGCUGAAGACCGCCAUUUGAAGGUUCCUUAUGUCUGCAGUCGGGCUGCUGGCUCAUUGGUGGUGUAUAUACUAAACAUC